GACGAACCGUGCGAACGUUAUUCGGAAUCACUGGGCUUAAAGCGCGUGUAGGCGGAUGGGAACGUCGGUAGUUGAAAGCCCCCGGCUCAACCGGGGAAGUGGUGCCGAAACGACCCGUCUGGAGGGACGUAGGGGGACCUGGAACUUCCGGUGGAGCGGUGAAAUGACGCAGAUAUCGGGAGGAACACCUAUGGCGAAGGCAGCUCGCUGGGACGUUACUGACGCUGAGAACGCGAAAGCUAGGGGAGCAAA
rnacentral:rRNA from 1 species